GCCAACAUGGUGCAGUGGUUUGAGCAUUGGACUAUAACUCUGGAGACCAGGAUUCAAAUCCCGGCUUGGCC